rnacentral:rRNA from 1 species
UCCCUACGGGGCGCAGCAGUGGGGAAUAUUGCGCAAUGGACGAAAGUCUGACGCAGCGACGCCGCGUGAGGGAUGAAGGUUUUCGGAUCGUAAACCUCUGUCAGGAGGGAAGAAAGCGCAUGGCGCCAAUCAGCCAUGCGUUGACGGUACCUCCAAAGGAAGCCCCGGCUAACUACGUGCCAGCAGCCGCGGUAAUACGUAGGGGGCGAGCGUUAUCCGGAUUUACUGGGUGUAAAGGGAGCGUAGACGGAGGAGCAAGUCUGAUGUGAAAAUCCGGGGCCCAACCCCGGAACUGCAUUGGAAAC